GAUGAAGGACGUGCUAAUCUGCGAUAAGCGUCGGUAAGGUGAUAUGAACCGUUAUAACCGGCGAUUUCCGAAUGGGGAAACCCAGUGUGAUUCGUCACACUAUCAUUAACUGAAUCCAUAGGUUAAUGAGGCGAACCGGGGGAACUGAAACAUCUAAGUACCCCGAGGAAAAGAAAUCAACCGAGAUUCCCCCAGUAGCGGCGAGCGAACGGGGAGCAGCCCAGAGCCUGAAUCAGUGUGUGUGUUAGUGGAAGCGUCUGGAAAGGCGUGCGAUACAGGGUGACAGCCCCGUACACAAAAAUGCACAUACUGUGAGCUCGAUGAGUAGGGCGGGACACGUGGUAUCCUGUCUGAAUAUGGGGGGACCAUCCUCCAAGGCUAAAUACUCCUGACUGACCGAUAGUGAACCAGUACCGUGAGGGAAAGGCGAAAAGAACCCCGGCGAGGGGAGUGAAAAAGAACCUGAAACCGUGUACGUACAAGCAGUGGGAGC
rnacentral:rRNA from 1 species